rnacentral:lncRNA from 1 species
CAAGGCUUUGGGGAAGGGAGAAGAAGUAACCGAGCUCACUGAAUUGGACAAUGAGGAGGCGGAGAUAAAGGGCAUCCUAGAAUGUCUUGAGAACAGUGAUUUGUUGUCUGUGGAGCACCAGCUCCACAUAUUGAGAAACCUAGAAAGAAAAAUCAAUAUUAUCAACCACCUGAACAGUGACCUGGCCCAGCGGCUGGUUGACAUCACCUCCAUCAAUCUAAUCAAGAAUACGGAGCUGAAGGAGGAAUUUGAGGAGGCUGCCAUUGCCAUCCUAGUGGCGGUUGGGAAGCACUGUCCAGGAGAUGUCGUGGCCACGCUGCAGGAGAGAUUCCAGCCAAAAGUCCUGCCCCACCGCAGUAUCCUUUGUGCAAUGGAGAAGCUCUGUCAACUCAGUGGUACCAUCUUUCUGAACUUCCUGUUGUCUGAGUUUCUUGUUAGAAGUGUUCACCUGUGUGGCCCCACUAAACAGGUCUGAGUUACCUGGGCUUUUCCUAUGUACCCUUCCUAUAGUGACUGCUAUGCUGUGGCUGGUCAAAAAUUUUCCACCUAACCUGGCUUUCAAUGGAAAAUUGGGGUUGUGGACUGCAGAGCUGAGUAGGCUGCACCAUCCAAAGGGACAGUGCACUCUAUAUGCUCCCUCCUCAAGCUCCUUUGGGGGCAGUGCAGCUUCACACUGCCUCCACCAUAGGCAUAUGCCUUAAAGGUACAAUCUGGCCCAAGGCGCAAGGUAAGUGCUGUACCCUUGUGUUUUUACACUUUCAUUUGGUU